UAGGAGCGCUCCAGGCACACGCAAGCCAUCUGCUCCCAUUUUCCUCUGCUUUCCCAUCAAAUCCCUCCCUGCUGACCCAAUCCAAGCUGAAGUCCUUGCCUUCACAGUAAAGACUUAUAGGGCCAUACAUCCCAACAGCAAAGCCAGGUAAAUUCAAGGUCCUGGGCACCUUCCAAAAGUAACUGGAGGAGAAGAGAUGAGGUGGAGAAGAGCAGAAGGAUGGCCAUGCUCAGAGGUGAGGACAAGCAGGGAGCAUGCAACAGGGGAUCUGCUGGGAGAAUCAGCCUCGGAUGGGCUGCAGCAUGCCAUGGUGUGGCCGAGGUGUGUGCACACACUUGUGCAUGCACGCACGCCUGUGCACGCUCAUCCUCACGCCUGGUCUCAGAUGCUACCGCCAACACACCUCCGCCACCGCGUCCCGGGUUUUCUGCUGGUCCUUUAAGCCCUCUGCGCCAGCCUGCAGAGCAGGAAUGAUAGCAGAGGUGCAAAAGUCCUUUCUGGUGAUUAAUGCAUCAUGUGUACAAAGAAGGUCUGUGGUGAACGGAGGCUGGAGCCGGGAUUAAUUGCAUACCUUGAAGUGGAGAGAUUUAUGUAAGGAAACAGACUUGGCGGGCUGCCCCGCUCCGGGCUGUGUUUACCUGCCUGCGCCUCCACACCUGUCAUGCUGCAGCAGCAAAAUAUUAUUUAAUAACAUUUGAAGGGAGAUCUUAAUAGCUGGGCUCCCUCCCCGCCUCACCCCACCUCCACGGGUGCAGCAGUGAAGCUCGGCCUUACUUUUCCAGUGUUUUGGUGGGAUCUGUGCCUGACCAGCCAGUCGAGGUGCUUGUGUUCCCGGGGGUCUCUCCCAAAUGAUUAAGCUCCAGUAAUUGAAAAUACCAGCCCAUGGUGGUCUCCACGUGUGCCCAUCUCCUAGGGUCAUCCCACUGCAAGGUAAGCUGGAGGUCUCAGAGCAGGUCUCAGCCCAAAACACCCAACCUGGCCAGCCAGGGCUUUGCUCCAGGCAUGAUCCAAGCUCAUGGGCUCCAUGCAGGAGCAAUCGCCUGUGUUUAUAUGUGGACAACACAGCUCCAACUGCUCAGCAUGUCCAUUCAAAUAAGAGACAAAUAUUUGGUACAGCCCAGUUCAGAAAUGCUUGAGCAUGUCUCUUGAAAGGGAUUUGGAUAUUAAUUGCAGUCUGUUUGUUGAUUUGCAUGCUUAUCAACGAGGGACAAGACCAAAUAAAACCCCACAGGUCUCGAAUGGGAGCACUUAGGGAUUUUCUUCUUAUCGACAAACCCUCUUGGUGAUUAUAAGCAAAUAAGUCAGUGCUAAGGACAGUUGGAGGGGGGAAAGAGAAGUGCUUCCCACCUGCCAGAGCUUAGUCACUCCAGACCAGAGCUUCCCUUCUGGAUGGAGACAACACCACACACCAAUUAUCCUCAGCAUUUCCCCCCUGUCAGGAAGGCUCUGGAGCUUGACCUGUGUUUGGCAUCUGCUCCUGCCCUUGGCUUUAAACAAUGCAGGUCUUGAGUAGGCUGAAUGCAAUAAGGGGCUUGACCUGACUCUUACUACGUUGUGUAAUUGUGGUUUUUUAGUGUGUUCCUCUCACGCCAAGACAGACCCUGGUGUAGACACAUGUCCCUACCACCCUGCUUGGAUACUGAUGUUUGCAAGGACUUCAAUAUGGGUUCAGCCGUCAUUCCCAAAUAUAAGCCAGCCAGCCUCAAGCCAUUAAAUGACACCGUACCAAAUUAAGGAAUCACUGCCAUCACUUCUGGAAAGCAAGGACUCUAUUUUGUGCCCUGUUGGUGCAGCGUAGCCAGGGUGUCCUGAUACCACCCAAACACAAGCACAGCCAGUGUGAGGUCAAACGAAGCUCCGUUCCCUCUGCUAAUUGCCCCAAAGUUUGAUGUUUUCUCUUCCCAAAUGAAAACUUUCCACUAACUCAGACUGUCCUAAACCUGGUUCCUUUCUGCAUUAUUGAAGGAAAACAUUGUGGGAUUGUUUUUUGUUCUUUUUUUUUACCCCCACAGGACAAACUUCAAAGGAGCAAUGGAGACCUCCCCAUUUCCAUAUGAAAAGAACAAGAGACCUGUUCUCCAGGGCCACUGCAUGCAUCCUGCUUCAUUUCGCAGAUAACCUCAGUGGGGGGCUCCGGAGGGGGAUGUGUGGCCAGGGGGACAAGGUUCCCCAAGGUUAAUCACAAACCGCUCGUCACAGCAGCGGCUGAUUGAUGGGCACCAUUAAUCACUGCCCAGCCAGGCUGGAGGGGACACGGGAGCUGUGGGGACAGGGAGAGGGUGCCAGGACAGGAACGGUGACACCCAGCCAGUGCUGCUGGAAGCACCGAGAGCCUGGGGAGAAUGGGUAUCACGGGGUGGUUUUGUAGGUGAACAAGUGUAUGGCACCUUGCAGCAACGGAGACAGAAAGGAGCAGGUCUCUCCAGCCCUUGGAAAUCCCCCUGGCUUCCAGCAGGGAGUCAGGAUUUGGGAUCCUGGCAGGGCCUGGGCCAAGGUAGGGGUGGGUUUGUCUCACAGCCGUAAGGCAAUUAACAGAUUUUCCAUCCUCUUUAUGGACUGAAAUCCACUGAGAUUUUUAUAGGAACAACAAAGGCAGUAAAAGCCACACAAGUGAGAUCAGUUGAGGACCUUGUGCAUUUACAGGCUGGGUACCAGCAUGUGCUUUUUCUUUCAUUCCUGACAACUUCAUACACUUUUUCUUUCAUUCUGUUCCUAGCUGCUGCUCAGACUUUUGGUCAGGCUCUGCCUGCAGUAAUAAAAUUUGCAUCCGUGUUAACUACCUGGAUGCAAAUGACAGUAAGGACUUGCAGCAGAGCUUACUAUGCUGCGAUUUAACCUGCUGCGGUACAGGAGCAAGCCAUGCUUUCCACUACAGACAUAUCAGCUUUGCUCGGGUGACCAUGCCAGCAGGCUUGUGAUGAUGUCUUUGCUUCCAACACAGGCUGAAGAGCAGCUCGUGGCCUCAGGAGAUGGCUACAUUUUCAGGUUUUGCUCCUGCAGUGUCAAGGAUUUGGAUCCUUGGAUCUGGCUGCUUGGACAUGAAAAACAUCCCAGCCAGCUCUCACUGGAUGCAUUUAGUGCCAUUUAAAGAUACAGGUUUCAUGGCCAGUGGGUGAAGUUGUGGGUUUUUUUGAUUUAAUCUGUGCUAUAGAUUGGGUACAUUGACAGCCAGCAAUGAAGCAGGGUCCAUUUCUGAUACUGCCUCAUGCAUUUCUACAGGCUCGAUGCAAAGACCACUGAAAGCUGUGCCAGCCUGGACUUCAGUGAACUUUGGGCUGAAUACGUGUUAUUUCAGAGUUGGCUUCUUUGGGAGGGGAAGUGCUUCAGCCUCCAUGAGCACUCAGGUAUAUAGGGCAGAAGGCAACUCAUCUACCUCUGACCACCUACAACUGGCUACAACUGAUGCAUCUGCUCACCACGGACCCACCUACAGCCGUCAGGAGGGACGGGCAUCACCCAGGGGCAGCUGAUCCCAUGUGAAAUAGUCAUCCUAGAGCAGGCAGAAUGACCACCUCUGUCUUCAUGGGCUAUUAAAGCUGAUGACUAGUUAAAUGACUAACUUGAAGUAGACACCACACUCCUAGAUGGCCAAAGGGAGAUGUUUGUGCUGGAUUUUUAUCAUCUCUUGUCGCACCCAGGAAGGCCUCUUUCACCAGGGGUGGUUGGCUUUGAGAUGGGAUUUCUGCUUAGGGGGGAAAAGAUGAUCAGAAAAUACAUUUUACUUUGAUUUUAUGUUAUCUUUUUCAGUAGCCAAGGCUUGUGAACACAGUCAUUUUGUUUCCAAAUGACCACCUCUGAUCCCUGUGUAGGGCUGUAUAAUUCAGGAAUUAUUCUGAAUUAACUUAUGUAUGUCAGUUACCUCAGCCCAGCAAGACUUCUCUUCUCUUUGCUCCUGUCCAGGACAGCAUUGAGUUCUUCCCCAAUGAGGAACUUGUAGAUGUACAUUCCCUAUGUAGAACAGCAUUAAAUAAAUACAUUAUUAUUAUUAUUAUUA